rnacentral:sRNA from 1 species
UAGAAGUGGCAGAGACAGGAACAGAGCCAAGGCAGCGGAGGCGGGAGGCAGGAGGGAAACCAGCCAGGCGGCAGAGCUGUA